AUAUUUACCUGGACGGGGUUAAUGGAAAAUCAAGGUUCAUGGCCUAGGUAAGCGACCUCCAUUGCACUUGGGAGGGGUGCUCGUCUAAGGUCUUCCCACUGUAGGAGAGCUUACGUCAUAAUUUGUGGUACUGGGCGAGUUUGAGCUUCAAUCGAGCUCG